UACGUAGGGUGCAAGCGUUGUCCGGAAUUAUUGGGCGUAAAGAGCUCGUAGGCGGUCUGUCGCGUCUGCUGUGAAAACUCAGGGCUUAACCCUGAGCUUGCAGUGGGUACGGGCAGACUAGAGUGCGGUAGGGGAGACUGGAAUUCCUGGUGUAGCGGUGAAAUGCGCAGAUAUCAGGAGGAACACCGAUGGCGAAGGCAGAUCUCUGGGCCGUAACUGACGCUGAGGAGCGAAAGCAUGGGGAGCGAACAGG
rnacentral:rRNA from 1 species